CGUUCCCGGGCCUUGUACACACCGCCCGUCACACCAUGGGAGUUGGUUUUACCCGAAGGCGGUGCGUCAACCGUAAGGAGGCAGCCGACCACGGUAAGGUCAGCGACUGGGGUG
rnacentral:rRNA from 1 species